ensembl:snRNA U6 U6 spliceosomal RNA
GUGCUCGCUUCGGCAGCACAUAUACUAAAAUUGGAAUGAUACAGAAAAGAUUAGCAUGACUCCUGUGCAAGGAUGACACACAAAUUCGGGAAGCAUUCCAUAUUUUU